rnacentral:snRNA from 1 species
ACACUUACCUGGCAGGGGAGAUACCAUGUUCAAGAGGGUGGUUCCCCCAGGACGAGCCAAAAGCAUUGCACUUCAGUCACGCCGACCCCUGCAAAUUUCCUAAAUGUGGUGAUCUCAACGGCAUUGGC